UUCUUUACUAUCCCUACAAAACACCUGAUGUCUAUAACUAAAGAUUCUGAACUGCCCACCUGCAACUGUCUUGAUCGAGUUACACGAAAAAUCAAAGGCUCAUAUUAUAUACACCUGAGGCAGGACCAGGUGUUGCUGCUGUCAGGGAAAUCAUGGUGAAUAUGUAUUGUGAAAAAGGAAACAUAAUAAGGAUAGAAACAGUAGUGUACACUGGUAAUGAAGGGAAAAGCUCUAAUAGGUGUCCAAUCAUUAAGUGGGUUUUAACAAGAAGCAGUGAUACAGAAAAAGCUCUCUGGUCUAGCAGUGUACAGGCCACCACUGUCCAACUGCUGUGAUAGUGAUGCUCAUCAUGGUGUGGGAUGGCAAUCGCUUCUCAGUGGCUGACUGGCUGUACACAGAGCUCACCAAGAAUCUAAGGUCAUACAGUAUGCAUCCCACCAACCGAAGAUGCACCCUCCAUUAAAAUCGUACCUGUACAUGUUAAGGAAUUGAUCCAGAGACAUGUGGCACUUCAUUCUCCUUUGGCUGUUCAUGGAGUAUGUACUUUAAUGGCUGUAAGUUUGGUAGCGGCCCAAGCUCCAGAAGAUUUAGAAUUGAUUCAAGCUCUCUCUUACAUACCUACUAUGAAAGAAUUACUAAAGGACAUAAUCCAGAAAGACAAUAUAUAAAACUGGAACAAAUUUGUGUGGAACAUGAGGCCAUGGAAAAAAACCUUGAAGAUAACUUAAAGAAUUUGGCUACACAAUUAGUUCCAAUAUAUAAGCAACAUGCUCCAUUAGCUUACCAAAAUCAGGUGGAACAUGAAAAUGUUGCACGAGAAUGUUAGCUUGGCAGCAAGAAUAGUUUUUCCUUCUCUGGCAUCAUAGCUUGCCUGGACUUCUCUGCCCAACCCCACAGAGACAUUCACAACAUGAAUAAUGGAAGCACUGUGGUUUGUACUUUAAUUCAAGAAGAUAACUGCUCUUUGGGUGUUAUUCCUCAAGAUAAGCAGCUCCAUGUGCUACUUCUUUAUACACUUUCAGACACAGAUGAGUUUGGCUGAAGGGAGGGAAUGGAAGCCAAGAUCAAAUCUGGGACCAUUGAGGUCCUGGCACCUUGAUGCAAAGAAAAAAAAAAAAAAGAAGAACAUGUUUCAUUCAGCCUGUUCCCAAGUUCUGAGAAGAAGAGGGCUGUGAUGAUGAUGGAGGUUCUUGCAUGUAAGAUAAGGGCAGUGGAGAAAAAACCCAUUCCCCAAAUCAAGUGGAGGAAUAACUCAGCAACAAUAAACCUCAGUAAGGCUUUACUGCUGCCAAUCUUCGCAAUUAAAACAGAGACAGUGCAACCUAAAGUAAAGGAACCCUAUUUUAUCUUAAAAGAUUUGUGAGGCCACAACACUAAAACCUAUUCUCUGAUUCCAUCCAUUUGUCACCCAGUGAAAGAGGCCAUUCCAUCUCCAGGCUUCUCCUGGUCCCCGAAGACUGCUUCAGCCACCCAGCUCUAUUGAAGAAGGAUGCAACAGUCCCCUACAGGUUUUCAGAAAGAAGUAGCAUUCCCCACUGCUCACUGCACGAUGCCUUCUGGAAGACUCAGUGGUGCCAAUGCAGCUGCUGCGGAAUGCUCUAGAAUUGCACAGCCUGGCGAAGUGGCUUCUCCCCCCACUCUGUCUCCCCCUGUGACAGAGCCCUUGGUUUCUUCUCAGCCUCCCACUGGUCUAACUGAACCACUAACUUCUCAUCAGCCAAGCCAGCAGCACCCCUUCCUCAACUCUUCUCAAGACCUCGCCUCUUUGAUGGAAGAUGAUGAGCAGCAUUCUGAAGCAAAUGAGCCUCUAUCAAACUAGUUGCUAUCUGAUGACUGCCUGUCACCUGCUGAAAAGAAAUUGUCCCACCUAGGUGAGUAUUGGUCAGACAGUGAGCACAUAUUUUUGGCUGCAUAUAUUGGUCGGGUGGUCAUGGCACAGCUCAGUUUUGAUUCAGUGUGCCCUGUGAGAGCUUCACACUAUGACUCCUGUGAGCAUCUAAAGCCUAGUCAAUCAAUUCACCUCUCCCUUGUCUUUUACCAGCACAAAAACCUGAAUAAGUCCCAACAUGAUCCUGAACUAAACAAAAUUAAGUUUCAGGCUAAAGAAGCUAAGAAUGAGAAAAUGAAGGCUUCAGAGCAAAAAGACCAGGAAGCUGAUGAAGGUCCUGAACUGCCCUCUAAGGAAAUUAUUUUAACCAAGUUCCUUCUCAUAAAGCAUUAACAUUAACCCAAGACAAUGGUGUCACCACAUUUCCUUAUGCUCUCACAUACAUUGCGGUGCCCUAUAACCAUUGGGUCUGA
rnacentral:lncRNA from 1 species